AGAGGCGGCGGCGGCCGGAGCGCCCCCGGGCUCUCUCGGCUCCGCAGGCUCAGGUAGACUUGGAGGCUACGGGGCAGCGGCUGCAGAGGCCGGGCUGGCGGGGCGAGCGCGGGCCGCGGAGCCGACCUCAGGGGUGAGCCGUUUGGUGUAAAAGACUUGACUCCAUAUCUGCAUCUGCCCCCAUGCUGUCAUCCGGCGUAGAGACCCAGCCCGUUCCACUCGAUUCCUCCAUGUCUGCCGAGGUGCAGGAAUUAUACUCUGAACUCCCAGUGAGUGUCUCCAAAGAGCUUCAUGCUGACCCUGAGCCAAGUGCAAUUCCAGAUGUAAAACCUGGAGCCUCAAGCUCUCGUAUAAGUCAGAGUAGGGCAGUGCCCUUGGAGCUGCAGAGGACUCCUGUGGAAAGUUGUCGCGAAGAAACCCCUGAGACCUUGGACCAUGGGGGUGAGCCUGGGCGGUGUGGGCUGGUGGACCCCACAGCAGAAGGUUCUGUGGCUUCUGGGAUCUUGGAUAGGGAAGUGAAAGCCAAGAGCAUGGAGCAAAAGGUCUUCAGAGAUGGAGGGGACCAGGCGGAGAUUGUAAGAGACCCCUGUGAGGGAGCAAAGGAAGACACACGUCAAUAUUCCACAGCUGCUGAAGAGAAGCUCUGCCCCAGCCAGGAGAACCUCCUGAUGCAGGCAAGCAAAGAACAUCUAUGCACGGACCUCCGUGAAGAUGGUCUGAGGAACAAAGGAAAUGUACAAAUUACAGCUGAAACUCUGCUAAAAUCUACUGAGGAAGUACAAGGUAUGAAGGUCAGUGGGACUAAGACGGAUAAUAAUGAAGGACACGAGAAUGGCCAUGUGAGUAAAGGUCUCUCGGCUGGGUGCAGCGGAUACCCAGAAGUAGACAAAAUCAUGAGCAGUGGUGAGGUUUCAGAGACUGGCACGUUAGUGUCCCUAGAGCCUUUAAACUCUGUGGACCCUGGAUUAAUAGAAGCAACUAAAGAGAAAGAAUGUGAAGAACUAAAAACCUGUCCUCCUUGGUUGUCAUUAUUACCAGGGAAGAGUGCCAUUUCCAAAGUGGACAAUGGAAAGGAAGAGUUGUGUACAUUAAACCUUGUCUGUGAAGCAGAUGACAAUCGCCAACAGGUUCCUGGCCACCAUAGUGAGAGACACAGUUCUGCACAUGGUAGUCCCAAAGCCAUGAGAAAGGUGGUUAUUGUAGAACCCUUAGAAGAAAAUUCGGAAGUUUCACAUUUCACAUCCUGUUUGUCUGGUCCAGAAUUCAGAACAACAUCAUCAAAAAAGUGUGGUUUUGAUGGUGAUAGCUUGCCAAAGGGAUCUGCUAAAAAGACAGACAAUUCCUGUUUUGAUGGGGACGAUCAAAGCAAGAACUUGGCUUCUAGAGAAGAAAAUGAACAGCCUUUGAACCCCAGGAGUGAAAGAGAGGAACUCUUUCUUGUUAAUGCCUGGCAAGCAGAAGAGGAUGCUAGUGGUCACUAUUCUGGAAAAAAAGAGGCUCUUGACUUCUCCAAAGAAAAUAUCCACGAUCACUACUGCCCUCAAGGCAGUAUCCAUACAGACUGCUCUAGUUCUUUAAUGCCCAAUUCUUUUACUGAAGCCACGGAAAUAAUGUUUAAAAAAAAUGAUUUAAAAAUCACUUUAGACAUUCAGGAUAACUUGGCAAACCAUGAGGACCAUAGAGGAACUUUUGCUAAUAUAAGCCAUCCAGGCACACCCUCUGAAGAGAACCAUUUUUCCUCCUCAAUGCAGAUUGAGGAGCCAGAACAGACAACCACUAUAGAGCCCAGUAUGUUAAGUGAAAAGAUUUACAGUAAAGACUCUAACUCCUUAGUCAGCACCCAGAGAAAUCUGGAAGACAGCACCCAGUUAAAUGAAGCAUCACAUGACGGAUUUCUGAUUCAAAGAAAAUCCCCUGUGAGUUUAACGCCAGAGGACCAGAUAAGUUCUAUAAAUGAGGUGUUGAAACCCAAGAAAGACAUUGCUCCGUUACUGCCAGCCCUAGAAUUUGAUGACAGACCUGAGUCAGAAAUAGAUGUACAGAACUCCCAGGACGACGGUCCCCAUUUAGAUAAACAGAGCGCUGCAUGGGAGGUGAAUGAACUUCCUUAUGCCAAUGAACUACUUGUAAACAAAAUAGGAAGUGAAUGUGUUUUAAAUCAAGUGUUCCUUAAUUGUCAAAACCAUGCGAAGUUGCCAACUGACAAAGAGAUGCCUGUAGCAGCGAGCGAGGGCUCCCAAUGGAGCCAGCACCCUCCGUCAGAGGAUGGAGCAGAUGUCACUGCUGGUACCCAGACUGUUCCUGUAAAGACAAAAAUGAAAGACAUCUCUCCACCAGGUGACAAAACCUGUGGUGCCUCUUCAAACAAUCCCACCUUAAACAGCAAAUCAGAAAGCCUAGUAAGAAAAACUGAAACAGCUGAUUCAGGAGCAGAAGGUCUGCAUUCCAGACUUCUCUCAAAUCAGAAAGAAGACGCAGGCUUGCCUCAAGAGGUCUCUGCUGUGGAAUGUCAAAGCAUUCAAUCUCGGGAUCUCUCUAGCUGCCCUUGUGUAAGAAAAAACGUCCCAGAGGAGAGCACGUGUUCUGCCCAUGCUGCCCUGGAGCCCAGCGAAACCGUCCUGGGAGUUGAGAACUGUCUGAUAACCAAGUAUGAAAAUGCAUUUCAGCACAGCGAUCACCGCCCCCAAGGGAGAGAAGCCUCCGUGGAAAGUUGUAUCCAUAAAGUGAGUUGUACAUCGGCGGAAAGUGAGCCAGGUGGGGGAGAAACUGAAGGCAGCCUUCCAGGAGGUAAGAUCAGAAACGAAAUGACGGCAGGCAUGUUAAAUAGUGAAGCUCCAAACAGGACCAUCCACACCACCUGUCACAUCCAUCCCAGCGAGGAAGGGCUAGAAGAAAAAGAACAGGACACACCCAAAGAGACUGUGUUUUGCAAACAUAACAUCUGUGAUUGUGCCGCACAGGAAUUAGACCAACCUGCAAACAUUCCAAGUCCUGAAAAAUUGUUGGACCAGUUUCCUACUGUUACGUUCUCCGGUGUUAGAAACAUGAACCAAGCAGCUGAAACUCCUGAGCAGAAGGCAGAUGAAGCCCUCAGCUGCCAGAGCAACCCAAACAGAUCCGAUGAAUGCAGGAGUGAAGAUAACCCAGCUAAGGAGACACUAGGCAGCGACCAGAGAGAGAUGGUCGCAGAGCCUAACGGAGAGGUGAGCCACAGCCUGAAGGAUCUGCCCGUCGGUUCAGGCCAUAACAGCUCAUCGUCUGGUGGAAGCCUGAAGAAAGGGGCCUUUGAAAGGAUUUCUGGUUGUGAGGAGCCCAUAGACGGUAUGGCAGACAUGAUCUCCACAGGCUGUAGUGAUAAGGGCACAGAAGGCGUUGUGGACAUACGGGCGUCUAGUACUCUUGAUGGGCGUGCAAGGCAGCAUGGGCCAGUGUUACAGGAAACCUCAAGGAGUGUGCUGUCACAGAGGGGAGAGCCUAUUGCUGCAUUUAUGGGAAGGAUCGACCAGGAUUCAGAUUCCCAAGAUGCUACUUCCUCGACAGCAGACUUUCUCGAAAUUAAAAAAUCCUAUGAAGAGAAAGUAUGCAGAUUGUUAAAAGACUGUGAAAUGGAAGUGUGUCCAGACUCUUGUGCCCCUGAGACAGGGUCUGUGGCAGAUCAUAAACCAAAUGUAAGAGUAUUGGAUAGAAUAAAUGUGUCUUUAAAUUAUAUUCAUCUUGAACAGCAAGCUAAAGAAGCAUCUCUGAGAGAAACACAAGGAAUGAUUGAAGGAUCAAGACUAGAAAUAAAUUCUGAGCACGACAAGGGAAAUGCCAUUGGAAUUUCCUCAGAAGAACUGACAUCUUCUGGACACCAAGAGGAGAACUCUGUUCUCCCGGGAAGCCUGAAACCCACUGAGAUAACUCCUUUGCAUCCGUUGUCUCAAGAAAAAUCAGAAACAAUUAUGAAUAGUGAGGAAACUGACCCGAAAAACCUUUUUAAACCAAAAGAUGGUGAAAUGCCCUGUGAGAAUGUAAAGGACUGCAUGGUCCUGCCUGAGAUGAAAGGAAGAGCACCAAGGGAUAAGAGUAAUCCUAGCGAAGAAAGCAGCACAGCCCUCAUUGCGGAAAGUUUGCCUUUGACGAUGGAAACAGAAACCGAAGUGAAAAGAGAAGAAACUGCAGAACACCAGAGGGGACCACGGGGUCAGUUUCCUGCUGUGGAGGAGUCCGAAGAGAUGACUGUCAGAGAAGGUGUUCAUGGUGAUAACAUGAGCCGGGUGUCUCAGACCCAUCUUAAAACCCCGAGGAUGCCGCGUGAUGCUGAGGACCAACAGAGCCAGAAGGCUUUGGACUACAAGGAAGAGGAACAGAUGCAUCAAAAAGAAGCACAUGCGGCUUUGGAACGAUGCACAUCAUCUAAUAUGUUGUCAGAUGAGGUGCAAAGUAAGAACCAACCUAAGGAUCGCAAAGCUGAGCCCACCGUGGUGAAAGAAAUCACCCUAGCAAAGCCAGCCACAGGCGACACUGCUGCAGGGUUUCAGAAGCUGAAAGACCCAAAGGAGGAAAGCUUGUGUCGCCCAUCAAAAAAGGAUAUUGAGUCGUGCGCAGGCCCUUGCCUCCAUGAUGCCCCCCGGAAAGCACAAGACCCCAACUCCGCUGGGCGUGAUGAACUACACGGUGCCUUUGGGAACACUUCACAUCAGAAAGGAGUGCUUCCCUUAAAGAAGCAGCCCCACCGAAUGUGUAAGAAAGUUUCCUGCCAGGAGCUAGUCAACACGGGGAGGAAAAUAAGUAAAAUCAGAAGUUCUGCCUUUUUAAAGAGCUCCUCUGAAACCAUCCCCACAAACGCACACAGAUUUCUCAGUUCACAUGCUGUGUCUGCACCCACGCAACCGGAACCUGAAACAGCCCCUGCCAGGAGCCUUGUUAGCCACGUACCAAAGCAGAAGGCCACUCCAGGCCAGCCCUCGGGUAGCCUGAAUGUUCGGAAGCCUACCAAAGAAUCAGCCUUACUCAGCAAGCUGUCCAUCCUUGCCUCCAGACUGGCCCCGGCCACAAAGACCCAGAAGCUACGAUAUCGGCGGUGUUCCUCUGACCUUCUUCCAGUGGCUAAAAGCUACAAGCGGCUCAGAUACAAAAGGCUCCUGGAUGGGUUUUCCUACAGCACAAUGCAGCUGAAUCCAUGGUUGGCACGUAGUAAUUGGGACAGGAGGCCUAACAGUAAACCCUUGACGCUUUAUUCGCUCGAAGCCAUCAAAAUGAGCUUCAUAGAUUUGAGCGACAAGAUGCCAUCCCUGUUGUUUGGUUCCGAAGUCUUCCCAGUAUCCUUUCACGUGAAGUCAGGCUCCGAGUGCGGGACCGAGUCCCCAAGGACUUUUCCCGAGCACUGUGCACCCGCGAGGCUUGCCUUAGGAGAGGCCCGCCGGUGCCCGUCUUCACCUCCUAAGUGGACCUUCUCUUUCUUCUUGGCCCACGACUGCCCUGGGGUGGCCACGUUCAGGGAAGACCCUGGCCUCUAUUGUCAAGCAGGCGCCCAGCCUCCACUGCAGCCUCCAGUUCCUCUCCAAGACCAUGGAGCCACCGCCAUAGUCCAGACCAGAGCGGGCUGCUCCGUCCUUGGCCUUCACACACUCCUAGCACUUUGUUCCCCGGGAUGUUACCGAAUCUGGACGAAAAAACGGAGCUGCUCCAGCCACAUGCCCACCAUGCAGAGGCUCUUCCUGACCCAGUUUACCCAGGGUCUGAAAGGGUUACGGUCUCCCACCUCCAUAGCAGACAAGGUCUUCUGUUCUCUGCCCUACUCGGUGGGCCGAGUACUGUCCAUUUGGAGCCAGCACGGGCCUUCUGCCUGCCCCUUCGAAAUCUCUGCUCUUCAUUCCUCUCACAGCAAGCGGCAGCCACGUCUGGGCACCAUGAGCAGCCACACUGCGUUACCGUCUGUGCCUCUUCCGGGCCUGGAAGCUGCUUACAGCACCAGCGGCAGUCAUGUGAGGCUAGAGCCUCCAUUCCCUGCCUUGGUACCAAAGUCUCGCUUGGUAACAGACUCAGCUGUCAGCAAGCUCCUGCUUUCAGCCUCCGAGUUCCCGGUUCCUGGAUUUGAUGAGCUGGAUGGUGUGACAGCCCCAUGCCCCCGACCACAGAGCAGCCCCCCAGAACAGAAAGAGACUGAGCCGGAGAAGAGGCCAAAGAAGGUCUCACAGAUUCGCAUCCGGAAAACCAUUCCUAAGCCGGACCCUAACCUUACCCCCAUGGGCCUUCCUCGACCCAAAAGGUUAAAGAAAAAGGAGUUUAGUUUAGAAGAAAUAUAUACCAACAAGAAUUAUAAAUCUCCUCCUGCAAACAGGUGUUUAGAGACCAUCUUUGAGGAACCUAAGGAACGGAAUGGUACGCUCAUCUCAAUCAGCCAACAGAAGAGGAAGCGAGUUCUGGAGUUUCAGGAUUUCACAGUCCCACGGAAGAGGAGGGCUCGCGAAACUGAUGGAACUGGAGACCUUCUUUGCCAAGGAAGAGGAGGAGCAGGAGCGGUCGUCCGGUUGUUGAGAAGCGAUUCAGGUGGGGGGGUCUCAACUUUAGACUUUCCCGGCCUCCUUGGAAGAGGUUGCCUAAUUUUGCCCUACCGCCCAAACCACUCAAAAUGCAGACUAUGGAUUUUUACCUAUUUCAAGGUGCAGCCUUUUUAGGAACUGGUGAAAGAGGGUCCUCUAACUUGUACUGCUGAGUAUAGAACCUCAGGAACGCUCCCUUUCUCCUGGAAAUGGUCCUGAAUGAUGUCGGCCUCCUCCCCACACUGUCUGCCAUCCACGGAGGAGGACACCACAUACCUUCAGUAACACUAGGUUUCCAAGGACUCACAGCAUUUGCACGUCCAUGUGAAAGUUCCGCGUCGUUUACGGUGGUGCUAGACCAAGAUUAUUUAGACACGUGGCCUAGGGAGGGGGACCUGGCGUCCUGUCCCGUGUGGUCUCACCGGCUCAUUUCAGUAGUUGAGGAAAGAUGAGCUGCUGUGUUUUCUAAUCCUUUGAGCCCAUCUGUCCAGAACCAGAGUGCAGAGAAUUAACAUUCCUUGGCUGGUGAGUGGGAUGCUAAGCCCAGCCUCAGGACACUGGUCACCUCUCCCAUCCUCCCAGGAGCCACUGCCGUGGAGCAGCGCCAAUGGGAACUGUCAAAGCUCCAGAGACAUUUUCGAGUCAGUCUGUGAGAGGAGUGAGUGGUGCCCUCCUGGAUCAUGUCUCCUGGGUCCCUUUGGUUUCCCCGUCUGUCAUGGGAUGGGAGGAUGGGGUGGGGGUGGGGGUUUCUAUGUGCCUUUCCUUUGCAGGUUGACAGUCUGUGCCACACUGGAGCAGAAAAACUGACAGUGCGAGAAAAACGAAGUGCCACAUCUGUCUUGUAGGCCCACUGCCUCAGACAGAGCAUUUAGUAAGUGAAAUACACACCUGGUGAUCCACGGAGGCUUCUAAGGCCACAGCCACGGAGCAUUAGAGGGGAGCCCGGCUUCCGCACCAGCUCUGAACAAUGCAAACCAGAUGCUGCCAUUGUGCAUUCGCUUUGCCCAGACUGUGUAGACACAACCUGUGUUUCCCCUCAAUACCUCUCCCUUCCUGGGACAGGGUCCUUAGACACAAAUGCUUCUCUCUGUCUUUUUGCUUAAGGGAGUGGGAUGAGUUUGUGCCCUUGUACAAACGUUUUUAGGAAGCUCCUGCUGGACAGCUUGCAAACUCCCAGCAAAUCUACAGAGCCCUGUUUGCCAGCUCCAUUGCCAGUGUAGACAGGUGUGCAACGUGGCAAGCGUGGCAGACUGAAGUUGACGUGGGUGCAGCUGUGGCAUCACCAACAUUACGGAGAUACAAUUUCAAGUUUGCCCGUUGCAGGAGUGGCACUUGUCAGGGCCAGGAGCAAUGAUUUGGAACAUUGGCAUUUGGAAUGGGGGCUUGGAGGAAGUGGAGACCUGGGUUCCUUCCUUGUCCUGGGAACAUAGGAAAAAGCUCCGCUGAGGCCAACCCUCUCCUUGUGAUUCUCGGCUUGCAUCUGGCCAAGGCCCUUCCUCAUUCCAAAGUUAAGAAGGGGCCCCCACUGCAAACUUGAAAUUGCUUACCUGAAGUUGCCACAUCGGGUUCUAGCCGUGCUCAGCCACACCUGUCUUAACAUCCAUUUUUACCAUUGGCCUAGCCAGCUGCAGUCUGUGGUCCUCGGAGCCAGCCACCUGCCCAUAGCUACAGGAGGUCUGGUUCUGGGUUGGGAGUUGGUAACAGUUUCUGAGUAUGGGGACUUACCACCCAAAGACACUUAGUGUUUUUAAUAUGGGAAAGAGAGGAGAAAUCUCAGGUCCAGUCAGGGUUCUGCACAUCAGCUUUUCACUGAAACUUUAAACUAUAGUGUUUUCCAUCUGUCAGUUUAUAGCUAUAUUUGCCCCCCCCACCUUCCCCCUCUUUUAUUUUGGUUUCCUUUCCAGCUACAUUUCUCUAUUAAUUUAAAUGUACCUCAUCACCUGUUCAAGCAGAUCAUGUCCACUUUUUUUUACUGACCGUAUUCUAAGAGCUACAGCUGAGGGAGGUACAGUGGAGAGACAUACAGCGUUUGCCUUACUCGGAGCCUGAAGAGCUCAGAAACUCAUGCUGUGAAUCCUGAAACAGUGCUCCUCCAAGAGCUGUGAAAAUCAUGACACUUUGUCACAAUUUUGCCUGAAAGGGUCUUUUGCAUGAGUGCCAGAGACAACCUGAGGUAGAUUCCAGAUCCCACCCUCUGGGCAUGAUCCUCCCCCUGUGGCUGGUUCCCUGUCUGCCAGGCUAAGGGCUGCACAGAGUGCAGGACUGGGGCCGCCGGUCCAAGGCUUGGUGCGGCCUGAUGGAACGCAGAGCCAGUGCUCCGUCUCCAGGCUGGGAUUUCAUCUCAUAAUCAAUGUACAUCAAGAUGCGCGAAAGACCAACUUUUAGAUGGUGGUACUUUUCUCCCAUUCCCUGGGGGCGGAGUAUGCAGUUGGUGCUUUCUUUAAUUCCCUUGUGCUUUGUUUCUGUAAGCUUCCCCCACCCCAGUAUCAUGGAAAGGACCUCUGAAACACCACAUCAUGGGUGGCUGUAUCCAAAGUCUUUAAGUAGCUGGCCAGAGGUGCGGAGUAUCCUUUCCCGGAUUCAUGCGAGGGAAGGGCUCCUUGCCACGACUGAACUUCCUGUAUAAAAAGCUGGCCGGGAAGAAGGCUUAAUUUACUGAAAUCAAAGUUUAGUACUAUCAUCUAAUCACAAAUUGAGCAGCAAAGGCUAUUUAUUUUUAUUGUGAAGUGAGGGUCCCCGCAUAGCCUGCCAUCUAGCACAGCACUCUCUCAGAUUGGAUGCUUGUUCAUUGUGUGUCUCCACAAGCGCCUCUCUGGUGCUGAAUCGGAUUUUAAUUCUUGGCAAGAGGCCUCAGCAUCUCCUUGGGCUGGUCUAGGCCAGUAAAUAGCUGCCUGAAGUGUUUGUAUAUUAUCAUGGUCAAUAGUUCAGUGAAAUUUGUACAUUUUUGGUAACAUUGGCAUACAUGAUGCCCCUGCAGUUCCUUUUCUGUUUGGUAGUUUGUGACUAAAAUUCCCACUGUUAUG